rnacentral:tRNA from 1 species
GAGGGCAUAGCUCAGUGCUGGAGCACGUGCUUAGCACACACAAGGUCCUGGGUUUGAUCCCCAGUACCUUAU